rnacentral:rRNA from 1 species
GACGAACGCUGGCGGUUGUGCUUAACACAUGCAAGUCGAACGGAAAGGCCCUGCUUUUGUGGGGUGCUCGAGUGGCGAACGGGUGAGUAACACGUGAGUAACCUGCCCUUGACUUUGGGAUAACUUCAGGAAACUGGGGCUAAUACCGGAUAGGAGCUCCUGCUGCAUGGUGGGGGUUGGAAAGUUUCGGCGGUUGGGGAUGGACUCGCGGCUUAUCAGCUUGUUGGUGGGGUAGUGGCUUACCAAGGCUUUGACGGGUAGCCGGCCUGAGAGGGUGACCGGCCACAUUGGGACUGAGAUACGGCCCAGACUCCUACGGGAGGCAGCAGUGGGGAAUAUUGCACAAUGGGCGGAAGCCUGAUGCAGCAACGCCGCGUGCGGGAUGACGGCCUUCGGGUUGUAAACCGCUUUCGCCUGUGACGAAGCGUGAGUGACGGUAAUGGGUAAAGAAGCACCGGCUAACUACGUGCCAGCAGCCGCGGUGAUACGUAGGGUGCGAGCGUUGUCCGGAUUUAUUGGGCGUAAAGGGCUCGUAGGUGGUUGAUCGCGUCGGAAGUGUAAUCUUGGGGCUUAACCCUGAGCGUGCUUUCGAUACGGGUUGACUUGAGGAAGGUAGGGGAGAAUGGAAUUCCUGGUGGAGCGGUGGAAUGCGCAGAUAUCAGGAGGAACACCAGUGGCGAAGGCGGUUCUCUGGGCCUUUCCUGACGCUGAGGAGCGAAAGCGUGGGGAGCGAACAGGCUUAGAUACCCUGGUAGUCCACGCUGUAAACGGUGGGUACUAGGUGUGGGGUCCAUUCCACGGGUUCCGUGCCGUAGCUAACGCUUUAAGUACCCCGCCUGGGGAGUACGGCCGCAAGGCUAAAACUCAAAGGAAUUGACGGGGCCCCGCACAAGCGGCGGAGCAUGCGGAUUAAUUCGAUGCAACGCGUAGAACCUUACCUGGGUUUGACAUGGAUCGGGAGUGCUCAGAGAUGGGUGUGCCUCUUUUGGGGUCGGUUCACAGGUGGUGCAUGGCUGUCGUCAGCUCGUGUCGUGAGAUGUUGGGUUAAGUCCCGCAACGAGCGCAACCCUUGUUCACUGUUGCCAGCACGUUAUGGUGGGGACUCAGUGGAGACCGCCGGGGUCAACUCGGAGGAAGGUGGGGAUGACGUCAAGUCAUCAUGCCCCUUAUGUCCAGGGCUUCACGCAUGCUACAAUGGCUGGUACAGAGAGUGGCGAGCCUGUGAGGGUGAGCGAAUCUCGGAAAGCCGGUCUCAGUUCGGAUUGGGGUCUGCAACUCGACCUCAUGAAGUCGGAGUCGCUAGUAAUCGCAGAUCAGCAACGCUGCGGUGAAUACGUUCCCGGGGC